rnacentral:lncRNA from 1 species
GCUGGGAAGAUGUACCAACACUAACACUUAAAGAUUUUAAAAGCCUCAACGUGGAGAACAAAUUAUAAAAAGGGGAUACUGGAAAUGAGGAGACCACUCACUUUUCAACGGUGAUGAUCUUAGAAUCUGGCUGCUCUAAUCUAGAGACCUGAUGGAACUUCACUCCACAAUGGUCACUGGAUUAGAACACACAGAGAAAACCGUCAGGAGAUGAAGAAGAAGAAGACAGAGGAGGAGGAAACACA